rnacentral:misc_RNA from 1 species
GAUGAAGAACGCAGCGAAAUGCGAAAAGUAAUGUGAAUUGCAGAAUUCAGUGAAUCAUCGAAUCUUUGAACGCACAUUGCGCCCGCCAGUAUUCUGGCGGGCAUGCCUGUCUGAGCGUCAUUUCAACCCUCACGCCCCUAGGGCGUGGUGUUGGGGAUCGGCCAAGGCCCGCAAGGGACGGCCGGCCCCUAAAUCUAGUGGCGGACCCAUCGUGGCCUCCCCUGCGAAGUAGUAAUAUAUUCCGCAUCGAAUAGCGAUGAGCCCCUGCCGUUAAACCCCCAACUCUUUCAAGGUUGACCUCAGAUCAGGUAGGAAUACCCGCUGAACUUAAGCAUAUCAAUAAGCGGAGGA